UCUGAGCUAAAGAAGGUAAUACUAACUAGGAAACCUAUGCUCUUUGGCGGCCUUUCUUCUUAUUGGAGGAACUUGUCCAUUAAUCGAAAUUACCCGCUCGUUUUCUCUUUUAUCUAGUUUUUAUACCGUCGUCUUAAGAAUAUCGUUAAACCCACUAUUCUUCUCUGAACAUUCGAGCAAGUCAGAUCAAGGUGAAGCUUAUAUAAAAGAUUAGGGUGAGUUAUAUUUAUGUACUACUUUGGGCUCUUUUUUGAAAAAAUUAUAUAAAUUAAGAUUCGACAGUACCUUAAUUCUAAAAAAUUUUAGGGAAGAAGUAAAGUAAGGUGU
rnacentral:rRNA from 1 species